AAAUGCUGAAUUGAGAGUAUUUAAAGCAACUUUUUACAUGACCUUGAUGCCUAAAAUAAGUAUUCCUGAAUUAUAUAUAUAUUUUUAUUUUAUUUUAUUUUAUUUUUUAGAAUUACUCAAUGAGUGAAUAGUCACCAGUCUUGAAGAGAACAGAAGAAAAGAUUGGCAUCAAGCUGAAGGAGGAGGUGUACAGCUUCCUAGGGCCAUCGGAGAGACAGUGACCAACCUUACCUGUCAAUGAGGAGACACUAGAUUUGCUAGGAGGCACAGGUCAUGCUGAUCUGACUGGGCAUGCUGUAUUUAUGUACCUGGAAGUCUGUAGGUCCCUGCUGGCCUCAACUUGUGCACAUGUGGACUCAACAGAGAAAUCCAGACUCCUCUCUGUGAAGUGUUUUUGGAGUUGAUCCCCUGCUGAAAGUCUCCUCUAAGGAUUUUGAUAGGUCUUGAAAUUCUCAUAUGUGCUGGAUAUGAUUUCUAGCAGGAAUGCUUCGAAUGUAUGGGUCAGCAUCGUCCUUCAUGACCUUUUUAAUGUCACUAGCAAUAUGGUGUGAAAUACAUCAAACAAGUCUUUGAAUUA
rnacentral:lncRNA from 1 species